UAAGGUUCGACUCGAGCGAAAGCGAGAGAACGUUGCCAACGGCAACGGCCCGUAGGGUGAGGAGCGAAGCGACGAAUAAUCCUUCCCCCACCACCA
rnacentral:sRNA from 2 species